rnacentral:rRNA from 1 species
UGGGGAAUAUUGGACAAUGGGCGCAAGCCUGAUCCAGCAAUGCCGCGUGUGUGAAGAAGGCCUUCGGGUUGUAAAGCACUUUUAUCAGGAGCGAAACGCUGUCGGCUAAUACCCGGCGGAACUGACGGUACCUGAGGAAUAAGCACCGGCUAACUUCGUGCCAGCAGCCGCGGUAAUACGAAGGGUGCAAGCGUUAAUCGGAAUUACUGGGCGUAAAGCGUGCGUAGGCGGUUUCUUAAGUCUGCUGUGAAAUCCCCGGGCUCAACCUGGGAAUGGCAGUGGAUACUGGGAGGCUAGAGUGUGUCAGAGGGUGGUGGAAUUCCCGGUGUAGCGGUGAAAUGCGUAGAGAUCGGGAGGAACAUCAGUGGCGAAGGCGGCCACCUGGGACAACACUGACGCUGAGGCACGAAAGCGUGGGGAGCAAACAGGAUUAGAUACCCUGGUAGUCCACGCCCUAAACGAUGCGAACUUGAUGUUGGUCUCAACUCGGAGAUCAGUGUCGAAGCUAACGCGUUAAGUUCGCCGCCUGGGGAGUACGGUCGCAAGACUGAAACUCAAAUGAAUUGACGGGGUCAUAGCUGUUUCC